ACUAGGUUUAUUCUGGUAUACAGGCUCUGAAGCUAAUCUUUAUUAGCUAUGUUAUAUUUUAGCAUAAAAUAUUUUUUAGUUGAAAAUAAUAGAUUACUCAUUAUAGUAUGUAACUUCUAUUUGCGUCUACAAUAUGUCACAAAACAAAGAGACUUUUCAUCACAUUCUGAAAGUCAACAGGUGGUGGAAACGUUAUUUAUGGAUGAUAGUUGUGAAGCCUUUUGCGGUUGUCACUGGAUAUUCUCUCUUGUUGUUGUUCUUUGUUCUACUUUCCAUUUUAGUCAUAUGACACAGAUGUUUAUGUCCAAGCACCUGACCGUUACACUACGUUGGCGAACACAGGUGCAUUUUCGUGUGUGACGCUUGCGAUCCGCCGUUUGUAAUUUAAUCCCCAGUUGGCUGACUAUACGAAGGGGAGCAAAGACAGGAGUCUCUUGCGAACUUCCGUUACAAUUGGAGUUUUGUCACUACUGGAACAGGCCAGGAGUGUGCUAGUGAUGUGGUUCGAGGAACAAAGAAGCUCCAACAGAACAGGAAACUGAAAGUAAAAGAUUGAAGCACCGAAGCUGUUGGAAAAUAGUUCUGAUUCAACGGUUGAGAAGAUGCUUCGCUUGAUGGUUUCGAUCAAGGUUUGGAAAACUUGCAUGUAUAUAUAUGCCUUCUUUGCAUGAUUUUCUUCUUGCACCUUACACUCACUUCCACACUGUUUGCAUGGUGGCGAUCUAAUCUCAUGAGGUAACUCUGGAUAGGCCUUAUUCCGGAGUACCUGCUGAGAUGUGAUAGGCACCAUAUUGUUCACCAGUCUAAGCACAGAAAUGAAAGCAUCACCAUAUAAUCAUCCAGCUGGUAGGGCUCCUUUUAUUAACAGCGGUGGAAGGAAAAGGCUUACUUUUCGGGUGGUUUUACUCAUAGACCUUCUUGCUUUUUAUUAGUUUAUAAGGAAGAAACUCAAACUUCUUGAUUUAAUCAACUUUUAAAAAGCAUAUAAUAAUAAUAAUUCAAAUUAUUCGUUUGUUUUCACUUAAAGUUCUACCUUUGGAAAGUACUACUUUUAAUUAUCAGUUACAGUUUGUGUGAUGGCUUGACUUUUUUCUGUCUAUCAACUUGCUUGUUGAUACCCUACAGUUUUGUUAUGAUAUAAUAAUUCAUUUUAAGAUUUAUGAAAUUUAAACUUUCUAAAUAGUAUAAUUUUGAAUCCUUCGAUUGAACAUUUUUAAGCCAAAUGGUUGCUACAAAUUAUUUAUAAAGAUUAUAAUACGGGAAUUAUUAAUAUUUCGUAACAUAUGGAAUUAUGUUUUUCUAAUACAGAUGGCGUGUUUACAGUAGUUGUUAAAAUUAAAUGUAAUUACUUGGUAUCAAUUCCAGUGCAACAAUUAGAUAAUCCUUCAUGUUCGGAUAUUGUACUUUACGUGUUUGUAUUUUUUCGCAAAAAGUUCUCUUACAAGUUCUACUUUGUGUUGUACGAAAUAUACGUGUUAAAAUUCAAAAUGUGAAUGUCAAAGAACA